rnacentral:rRNA from 1 species
AGUGAACGCUGGCGGUAGGCCUAACACAUGCAAGUCGAACGGCAGCACAGUAAGAGCUUGCUCUUACGGGUGGCGAGUGGCGGACGGGUGAGGAAUACAUCGGAAUCUACUUUUUCGUGGGGGAUAACGUAGGGAAACUUACGCUAAUACCGCAUACGACCUACGGGUGAAAGCAGGGGAUCUUCGGACCUUGCGCGAUUGAAUGAGCCGAUGUCGGAUUAGCUAGUUGGCGGGGUAAAGGCCCACCAAGGCAACGAUCCGUAGCUGGUCUGAGAGGAUGAUCAGCCACACGGGAACUGAGACACGGUCCAGACUCCUACGGGAGGCAGCAGUGGGGAAUAUUGGACAAUGGGCGAAAGCCUGAUCCAGCAAUACCGCGUGGGUGAAGAAGGACUUCGGGUUGUAAAGCCCUUUUGUUGGGAAAGAAAAGCAGCAGGUUAAUACCCCGCUGUUCUGACGGUACCCAAAGAAUAAGCACCGGCUAACUUCGUG